GCGAAUGGCUCAUUAAAUCAGUUAUCGUUUAUUUGAUAGUACCUUACUACUUGGAUAACCGUGGUAAUUCUAGAGCUAAUACAUGCUGAAAACCCCAACUUCGGGAGGGGUGUGCUUAUUAGAUAAAAAACCAACGCCCUUCGGGGCUUCUUGGUGAUUCAUGAUAAUUUUACGGAUCGCAUGGCCUUGCGCCGGCGACGGUUCAUUCAAAUUUCUGCCCUAUCAACUUUCGAUGGUAAGGUAUUGGCUUACCAUGGUUUCAACGGGUAACGGGGAAUUAGGGUUCGAUUCCGGAGAGGGAGCCUGAGAAACGGCUACCACAUCCAAGGAAGGCAGCAGGCGCGCAAAUUACCCAAUCCCGACACGGGGAGGUAGUGACAAUAAAUACUGAUACAGGGCUCUUUUGGGUCUUGUAAUUGGAAUGAGUACAAUUUAAACCUCUUAACGAGGAACAAUUGGAGGGCAAGUCUGGUGCCAGCAGCCGCGGUAAUUCCAGCUCCAAUAGCGUAUAUUAAAGUUGUUGCAGUUAAAAAGCUCGUAGUUGAACCUUGGGUCUGGCUGGCAGGUCCGCCUCACCGCGUGUACUUGUCCGGCCGGGCCUUCCUUCUGGAGAACCUCAUGCCCUUUACUGGGCGUGUUGGGGACCAGGACUUUUACUUUGAAAAAAUUAGAGUGUUCAAAGCAGGCCUUUGCUCGAAUACGUUAGCAUGGAAUAAUAGAAUAGGACGUGCGGUCCUAUUUUGUUGGUUUCUAGGACCGCCGUAAUGAUUAAUAGGGACAGUCGGGGGCAUCAGUAUUCAAUUGUCAGAGGUGAAAUUCUUGGAUUUAUUGAAGACUAACUACUGCGAAAGCAUUUGCCAAGGAUGUUUUCAUUAAUCAGUGAACGAAAGUUAGGGGAUCGAAGACGAUCAGAUACCGUCGUAGUCUUAACCGUAAACUAUGCCGACUAGGGAUCGGGCGAUGUUCUUUUUCUGACUCGCUC
rnacentral:rRNA from 1 species